UACGGGGGGGGCAAGCGUUGUUCGGAAUUACUGGGCGUAAAGGGCUCGUAGGCGGCCAACUAAGUCCGACGUGAAAUCCCAAGGCUUAACCUUGGAACUGCGUCGGAUACUGGAUGGCUUGAAUUCGGGAGAGGGAUGCAGAAUUCCAGGUGUAGCGGUGAAAUGCGUAGAUAUCCCCAAGAACACCAGUUGCGAAGGCGGCUGACUGGACACAUAUUGACGCUGAGGCUCGAAAGCAUGGGGAGCAAACAGG
rnacentral:rRNA from 1 species